CCUACGGGAGGCAGCAGUGAGGAAUAUUGGUCAAUGGACGAGAGUCUGAACCAGCCACGUCGCGUGAAGGAUGACUGCCCUCUGGGUUGUAAACUUCUUUUAUAAAGAAAUAAAACGCGGCACGUGUGCCUUUUUGCAUGUCCUUUAUGAAUAAGGCUAGGCUAACUCCGUGCCAGUAGCCGCUGUAAUACGGAGGAGCCGAGCGUUAUCCGGAUUUAUUGGGGUUAAAGGGAGCGUAGAUGGGAUUUUAAGUCAGUUGUGAAAGUUUGCGGCUAAACCGUAAAAUUGCAAUUGAUACUGGCAGUCUUGAGUACAGUUGAGGUAGGCGGAAUGCGUGGUGUAGCGGUGAAAUGCUUAGAUAUCACGAAGAACCCCGAUUGCGAAGGCAGCUUACUAAACUGUGACUGACAUUGAUGCUCGAAAGUGUGGGUAUCAAACAGGAUUAGAUACCCGUGUAGUC
rnacentral:rRNA from 1 species